rnacentral:tRNA from 1 species
UCCCUGAUGGCUCAGAUGGUAAAGAAUCUGCCUGAAAUGCAGGAGACCUGGGUUCGAUCCCUGGGUUGGGAA